AGUCCAGCUGGGGUUAAGAAAUUUCCCUACGAUCUUUACAGUAGUGUCGUAAAUAUAGGCUCGGUUGCCAAGCGACCAUCUGAUUUCAGGCUUAGGCCGCUCUACUGUAAAGUGAGGGGAUCCACACAGAAGGUUAAAGUGAGUUCACCCAAACACGCAUCAUGCCGUUCAUCGACCUCCAGGGGAAGUUGUUUAUCAACAUGGACAAAUGGAUGUUGAUCCAGGGUGGAGAGCAGCCAUAUAAACGUGCGCCGCGCUGCCAUGCCUUUGAGAAGGAGUGGAUCGAGUGUGCAGAUGGCAUUGGUCAGACCCGUGCCAAAAAGGAGUGCAAGCUCGAGUUUGAGGACUUCUAUGAGUGCAUGCACAGAGAGAAGACGCACAAGAGGCUGUAUGAGAUCCGUAAGCAGCGGGACAAGAUGGUGAAGGAGGGCACCUACCAGACCCCAGCUCACCACACUGGCGCUCAGGCUGACAACAGGCCUUGACCCUAUUUGACCUUGUGUGUCCCCAACUUGUGUACAGUGUAGGGAGAGAUGAUUGGAAGAAAGGGACAGAAACGUGAAGGUAGCCUAGUGGUUGGUGUUGGACUAGUAACCGAAAGGUUGCAAGAUCAAAUCCCUGAGCUGACAAGGUAAAAAUCUAUCGUUCUGCCCCUGAACAAGGCAGUUAACUGUUCCUAGGCCGUCAUUGAAAAUAAGAAUUUGUUCUUCACUGACGUGCCUAGUUAAAUAAAGGUAAAAUAAAUAUUUAUGAUCUUG